UACGAAGGGGGCUAGCGUUGUUCGGAAUCACUGGGCGUAAAGCGCACGUAGGCGGAUUGUUAAGUCGGGGGUGAAAUCCUGAGGCUCAACCUCAGAACUGCCUCCGAUACUGGCAAUCUCGAGUUCGGAAGAGGUCGGUGGAACAGCUAGUGUAGAGGUGAAAUUCGUAGAUAUUAGCUAGAACACCAGUGGCGAAGGCGGCCGACUGGUCCGACACUGACGCUGAGGUGCGAAAGCGUGGGGAGCAAACAGG
rnacentral:rRNA from 1 species